rnacentral:lncRNA from 1 species
UAUAUUUUUAUCUACUAAUAUGUUGGGUAGAACAUGGGUAGACAGUUGGUGUGUAAUAAACAGAUGAGAGGCCUCGUUGUUGUUUGAUUGAGUCAUCUAGCGGAGUUUAGAUGACGACCACUGGCUAUUCUAGACAGUCUUGUGGAAACAUUAGCAGGUUCGCCACCUGUAGGUGUUAAUGAACUUGGGUGUUCAUUCGCUGUACUCCAUCCCCCUCAUGGUUGCCUUAUUUGACUUAUAUUGCUGAGGUACCCCCGAAGCAUGUGUUGUCGCCCCGAUGAAAUAUUCUUAGACUAGGUCCCUUAUGUUAGUUGUUUUAGGGACAUUAAAGUGAGAAUAACGGGAAUGGGUAAUUGGGUUAUUGUUGGUUGGUGAAAAUUAAAUAUGAUAUUUAUUGUGGGUUGAAAACCCUAUAUGCUCACCAGGCUCCCAAGCCUGACCCACUCAGUUUUAAAUUGUAUUACAGGUAGUGGCGGAAGGGCAUGAGAUGGAUGAACCAUCAAGUUGUUUUGUUUACAAGUCUGCAUAUGUUUAUAUUUGUUAUAUGACUUGUAAUGUAUUCGUUUAUGCUUAUUGGUCUGUAUCGGAACAUGACACCCCGAGUUUUGAUUAUAAUGAAAAUACAUUUCUUUUAUGAAAUGCUUCGGUAAACAAUGUUUUAUCAUGUUUUGUUUUUGGGAACAAAUUCCGCAACUCUUUCAAAUCAAAAGGAUUUACUCUGAAAAUAUUUAAAAGCAUAAAUGAAAAUCGGUCUUUUCUGGCCGAGAUUUUGGGGAUGUCACAGUUGGUAUCAGAGCAUUAGUUUAAGCGAACUAGGAAUUUGUAGGAUUUCUAGACUUAAACUUAGAAUGCUAAGUGAAGUUUUGAGAUGUGUGUCUGUUGUGAUUUAGACACGAGCACUAGUUUAUUUUAGGAAAGUUGCCUAAAAUGCUUUAUGUGCUAAAUGUUAUAUGUUGCCAUAUAUGAUAUUAUUUGUUCGGAUCUAUGGUCUGUUGCCGACCGGAUCUAGAAACCUUAUGUGUGUAGGAUUCUAAGCGUACGUCUACGAUAUUAGAACUAGCAUGUAAACGUUUCGGAGUGAUAAGGAUGAUUUGAAUAUCUAUCAUGAUUGAGGAUCUAAUUUCACCUUAUUCGGUGUAGAUCAAAAUGGUGAGAACAAGAAGUGGAGUUGGAAAUGCUGACGAAAACAGGAAUCAACCACCAGUGAUUGAGCCAAUACCUGUCGUAGCAGCAGCACCUGAGCCAAUAACCAUGGCUGGUGUGCAAUUGAUGAUUCAGACGAUGUUGGAUCGUCAGAUGGAUGAAACUAGACGGUUGCUUCAACAAAAUCGUGAAGAACUGUCGAUUCGUGUGGAAGAGCCUGAACUGAAUGAAGGGCACUCGGAAGGUGGAAACUUCAGUGGGUCUGUUGGUCCAGCCAACCCACCGAUAGUUAGGCAAGAUAACCAUGAUGGAAGGAAUGAUGGAAUGGGAUGCAAGUACAAGGACUUUUUGACUUGUAAACCAUCGACCUUCAAUGGAAAGGAGGAUCCGAUUGGGGUUAUGGAUUGGAUCUCCGAAAUGGAGUUAGCCUUUAUGACAUGUGGCUGUAGAGGCAAGUUGCAGACUAUCUAUGCCGUGCGACAAUUCCGAGGUGGAGCCGUUCGUUGGUGGAACACUCUAGGGAAGACCUUAAGCCCUAAUGAGCCACUGCAAUUGUCAUGGGCAGAGUUCUUGGUGCAGUUCAAGCGCAAGUUCUGCUCGGCUCAAAAUCUGUUGGAGUUGGAGAACAAGUUUUUGACAUUGACGAAGGGUAGCAUGUCAGUGGAUGAGUACACCAAUAACUUCACCGAUAAGAUGGAGUUUGCCUUGCGUAUCGUUCCAGACGAGCUGACAAAGGUGGAUCGGUAUGCGAAGGGACUUCCAUGGGAGUACGAGGUGCCGGUACGUCAGGCACUUACUCUAGAGGCAGCUAUCUGGGCUGCCAAGUCUGUGGAGAACAUGAUCAAGGGGAGAACCACCGUCAAGGUUGAGGUUGGUGAGAAAAGGAAGUUUGAAGGAACAUCUGGUUCCAGUAAGAAGAGCAAAUUUUCGAAAUCUGAUUCGAAAAAGUUUGGAGGAAAAGGAGGCGAAGCAAAGUGGUGUGAUAAGUGUAAGAAAAAGCACUUUGGGAAAUGUAGCGAGGAUGUGACCUGCUACAAGUGUGGAAAGGUUGGACAUUUUGCCAAUGAAUGUCCGAACAACAAAAGGAUGUGUUUUGGGUGUAAUGAAGAGGGGCAUAUUUUGAAAGACUGUCCGAAGAAGAAGGAGGCAGCUAGGCCCAACAUUCCACCAAAGCCGAAGGCGAGAGCCUUCCAGAUGACACUUGAGGCUGCGAAAGAUGAAGCUGAUGUCGCUUCAGGUACCUUUCUCGUAAACGAAUUACCUGCUCAUAUAUUGUUUGAUUCUGGAGCCAACUACUCCUUUAUUUCGCAUGAGUUUGGUAGAAAGCUAGCUUUGCCUGUUGAUAGACUAGAUAAUGCUUUAUUAGUCGAAGUAGCUAGUGGCAAGUUUGUACCUGUUAGCCAUCGUAUGAAAAACGUCUUGAUCGACCUUAAUGGGAAUAAGUUUCUCGAGGAAUUAUUGCCUAUCGAACUAAAUGGUUUCGACAUCGUCUUGGGAAUGGAUUGGCUUAGCGCCAAUGAUGCCGAAAUUUUGUGCAAGAAGAAGAUAGUUAAAGUAAACCCGCCUGGGAAAGAUUCGUUUAUGGUGUAUGGGGACAAACGCAGAGUGAAUUCUGGAAUCAUUUCUCUAAUGAAAGCCAGAAAGUGUUUGACCAAGGGAUGUACAUCAUAUUUAGCAUUCGUGAUUGAUGCUAAGAAAGAAAAGAAGGUGAUGCAGAGCAUUCCAGUGGUGUGUGAUUAUCCGGAAGUAUUUCCCGAGGAUCUUCCUGGAUUACCACCUGAUAGACAAGUGGAGUUCAGAAUAGACUUGUUACCAGGAACCACGCCAAUAGCAAAAGCACCUUAUCGAUUAGCACCGACGGAGAUGAAGGAGCUGAUGAUGCAACUUCAGGAGUUAUUGGACAAAGGUUUCAUUAGACCUAGUUCAUCGCCCUGGGGAGCUCCGGUGUUAUUUGUAAAGAAGAAAGAUGGAAGUAUGAGAAUGUGCAUCGAUUACAGAGAGCUGAACAAGGCAACAAUAAAGAAUAGAUAUCCGUUGCCGAGGAUUGAUGACCUGUUUGAUCAAUUGCAAGGUUCGAGCUAUUUCUCGAAGAUCGAUCUUAGGUCAGGAUAUCAUCAGCUGAAAGUAAGAGAGCAAGAUAUCGAGAAGACUGCAUUCAGAACUAGAUAUGGACACUACGAGUUCUUGGUUAUGUCGUUUGGACUAACCAAUGCUCCAGCAGCGUUCAUGGAUUUGAUGAAUAGGGUUUGUAAUCCUUUCCUUGAUAAAUCCGUGAUAGUGUUCAUAGACGACAUUCUGAUCUACUCGAAAAGCCAGGAGGAGCAUGGCAGACACUUGCGAGAAGUGUUAGAAGUUUUGAAGAAGGAGAAGCUUUAUGCGAAGUUCUCCAAAUGUGAUUUUUGGAUUCGUGAGGUCCAAUUCUUGGGUCACGUGGUCAACCAAGAAGGGAUAAUGGUUGAUCCAGCGAAGAUCGAAGCUGUGACGAAGUGGGAACAACCGAAAAGUCCCACGGAGAUUCGAAGCUUUUUAGGAUUAGCCGGAUAUUACCGAAGGUUUAUCCAAGGCUUUUCUUCGAUUGCUACUCCAUUAACAGCUUUGACCCACAAAGGAGCUACUUAUGCUUGGAGUGAGAAGCAUAAAGAAGCAUUCGAGAAGUUAAAGAAGAAGCUAUGCGAGGCACCGAUACUUUCUCUACCCGAUGGAGUUGAAGACUUCGCUGUUUAUAGCGAUGCGUCUGGUGUUGGAUUGGGUUGUGUUUUGACCCAAAGAGAAAAGGUGAUAGCAUAUGCGUCUCGACAGCUGAAAGAGCAUGAAAAGAAUUACCCGACUCAUGAUUUGGAGUUGGCAGCGGUAGUUUUCGCUCUGAAAAUAUGGAGGCAUUACCUCUAUGGCACGAAGUGCAAACUUUUCACUGAUCAUAAGAGUCUCCAAUACCUCUUUAAUCAGAAAGAAUUGAAUAUGAGGCAACGACGCUGGCUAGAAUUACUUAAAGACUACGACUGCGAGAUACUUUACCACCCCGGUAAAGCUAAUGUUGUUGCUGAUGCUCUCAGUCGGAAAGUCAAUCUUGAAAGGAAGAGGCCAAGAGCGUUGAGAAUUGAAGUUGUCUCGACUAUUGUGGAAAGUAUAAAGAAAGCUCAAGAGGAAGCUUCUGAGAAAAAUGACCGAAAGGAGGAACGUUUGGGUAAAACGUUGGUGUUUGGUACUAACGGUCAUGGACUGAAGGUAUUCCAAGAUCGUAUUUGGGUACCUAAGUCAGGAGGAAUUAGGGAUCUUCUGAUGGAAGAAGCUCACAAAACCAUGUACUCAAUUCAUCCGGGUAGCACUAAAAUGUAUAGGGACCUGAAACCCUACUACUGGUGGCCGACGAUGAAGCUUGAUGUUGCAAAGUAUGUGGCCGAGUGUGUGACUUGUGCGAGAGUCAAGACACAACAUCAGAAACCUUACGGGAGUUUAGAACCAUUGCCUGUGCCUAUGGGUAAGUGGGAAGACAUUGCUAUGGAUUUUGUCACUAAACUGCCCAGAACAAAGAAUGGUCACGACAUGAUUUGGGUGGUCGUUGAUCGAUUCACUAAGAGUGCGCAUUUCAUAGCGGCCAGGGAGAAAUGGUCUAUGGAAAAGCUUGCGAAUUCUUACGUGAAGGAAAUUGUGAGGCUUCACGGUGUUCCGUUAACGAUUGUAUCGGAUCGUGAUAGCCGUUUCACCUCAAGGUUUUGGAAAAGUCUACAAGAGGAAAUGGGUACCAAGUUAUGUUUAAGCACAGCUUACCAUCCGCAGACUGAUGGUCAGAGUGAAAGAACAAUACAAACACUUGAAGAUAUGCUGAGAGCAUGUACCUUGGAAUUCCUAGGUAAUUGGGAUGAACAUUUACCGUUGGUAGAAUUUUCCUAUAAUAAUAGUUUUCACUCGAGCAUUAAGAUGGCACCUUAUCAAGCUUUGUAUGGACAGAAGUGUCGUACGCCGUCUUGUUGGCUUGAGGCUGGGGAAAAGCAGUUUAUGGGACCGGAGAUGGUUCAUCAAACUGCUGAAAAGUUGAAAAUAAUUAGGGAAAGAAUGUUAGCAGCUCAAGAUCGUCAAAAGAGCUAUGCUGACAAGAAGCGAAGACCGAUGACUUUUGAGGUUGGAGAUUCGGUUUUGCUUAAAGUCUCGCCGUGGAAGGGACUUAUAAGAUUUGGUAAAAGGGGAAAGUUGAGUCCAAGGUUUAUUGGACCGUUUAAAGUCCUUCAGAGGAUUGGGAAUCAAGCUUACAAGCUCGAAUUACCCGAAGAACUGAAUGGAAUUCACAACACCUUUCAUGUGUGUUAUUUGAGGAAGUUCACGGGAGAAGUUCCCGAUAUAAUUCCAAUUUCUGAAUUGAGAAUUGAUGAGAACAAAAGGUUGAUUGAAGAACCAGAGGCAAUUGUUGACCGAAAGACUAAGAAGUUGCGACGCAAAAUGGUUGGGUUAGUGCUUGUCCGAUGGAAACACACGAAUGGGCCGAAUCUCACCUGGGAGACGGAGAGUGACAUGUUGAGUCGCUAUCCGCAUUUGUUUGUUGAUGUGUGAUUCCGGGGACGGAAUCAUUCUAAGGUGGAGAGAAUUGUAACGCCUGUGUUUCCGGGCUUGCCAUUUUUAGCAAUGUAAUAGUCUAGGUUAACCUUUGUAACCCGUUUUGAAAUAAUAAGAUUGUAUUAUUUGAGUAUUAUGUGUUUUGUGCUUAAUUGCUUAAUUAUGUGGUUUGAUUAAUUAAGAAUAAAAAUAAGCGUCAAAAUUUAAGUGUAAAAUAAACUUAAUAUCUUUGGUUAAUGUUGUAGUAGUUGAAACGAGGUUUCCGAAUAUAUAUAGAACGCCCAAAUCUGACUUCGUAUGAGGAAGUUAUGAUUUAUCGAAGUUCCGGCUUAGCGAUAUACAGCCUGUUUUACUCGAUUUGAGAUCGAGCGGUUGUUAGCCGAAGCAAUCUAAAUGAGAAUCGAAGAUCUCAUUGUUGGUAUUGAAACGAUAAAAAGUUAGGCGAGAACGGACGUCAAACGAAGAAGUUAUGAAUUUAUAACGAAAGUUUCUGUCCCGGCCUAUUAAAAAUAAUUAAUAAAAAUAAAGUCAAAAUUAGCCGACGGAGUCUAAACGAAAGUCGUAGAGCGUGGUCUCACCUUCGCGUGGAUAUAAAGAACGUCGAAAACGGAGUUCGUAUGAAGAAGUUAUGAAUUUCCGAAGUUUAUUAAUCAUUUUGUAUUUAUUUUUAAUUCAAAAUUCGGAAGCAUUAUCCGAAGGAGUCACCGAUCUGAUCCGAGGUACGCCCCGCGUACUCGAGUACGCCCCGCGUACUCCGAGGGAUGUCGACACUCGCACUCGAGCACUUCGGAUACGUAAGCAAUGACGUUUUGGGCAGUACGCCCCGCGUAACGCAGUACGCCCCGCGUACUCCGAGGCUCCAGCCUCCUAUAAAUAGGAUGCGAGGGUUCCGGGUAUUUUUGCCAAUUCCCUCUCGUUUUCGUGUCGAAGCUCUGUGCAAAAACCCCCGAAGCUACCCCGAAGUCCCGGUAUCAUACUCUAGCCCCGAGGCAAGUCCCGAGAUCCUGAAGAUCCCGAAAAGUGCGGUUCCCGAGUCGAAGCUCUGCCCGCGAGAAGUUCGAUUUUCGAGAAGAUCUUCCAGAUCUGCUGUGGAUUACUACUUCUAUAAGCCGUAGUGCUGUCCGAUCAUCUUCUGAUCAAGUGAGUGUGUAGUUAUUUCUUCUAAUACAAUAAUACGAAGUAUUUUAUAUAAAAAUACGUGCUAUGUGUAUAUAUUUGGUUGUGUUAUGUGUGAAUGAGUAUUCACUCUCUUCUAUCUUAUAGAUCUGCUUAUUUCUUUAUGAGAUAUGUGUUAUGUGUGUGUGUGCCUCAUCUGUUAUGUGAUAUAUGUGUUGAUUAAAGCAUGCUAUACAGGUUUUCUUUAAACUAUGUAUACAAAUGUAUAUUUUUAUCUACUAAUAUGUUGGGUAGAACAUGGGUAGACAGUUGGUGUGUAAUAAACAGAUGAGAGGCCUCGUUGUUGUUUGAUUGAGUCAUCUAGCGGAGUUUAGAUGACGACCACUGGCUAUUCUAGACAGUCUUGUGGAAACAUUAGCAGGUUCGCCACCUGUAGGUGUUAAUGAACUUGGGUGUUCAUUCGCUGUACUCCAUCCCCCUCAUGGUUGCCUUAUUUGACUUAUAUUGCUGAGGUACCCCCGAAGCAUGUGUUGUCGCCCCGAUGAAAUAUUCUUAGACUAGGUCCCUUAUGUUAGUUGUUUUAGGGACAUUAAAGUGAGAAUAACGGGAAUGGGUAAUUGGGUUAUUGUUGGUUGGUGAAAAUUAAAUAUGAUUAUUUAUUGUGGGUUGAAAACCCUAUAUGCUCACCAGGCUCCCAAGCCUGACCCACUCAGUUUUAAAUUGUAUUACAGGUAGUGGCGGAAGGGCAUGAGAUGGAUGAACCAUCAAGUUGUUUUGUUUACAAGUCUGCAUAUGUUUAUAUUUGUUAUAUGACUUGUAAUGUAUUCGUUUAUGCUUAUUGGUCUGUAUCGGAACAUGACACCCCGAGUUUUGAUUAUAAUGAAAAUACAUUUCUUUUAUGAAAUGCUUCGGUAAACAAUGUUUUAUCAUGUUUUGUUUUUGGGAACAAAUUCCGCAACUCUUUCAAAUCAAAAGGAUUUACUCUGAAAAUAUUUAAAAGCAUAAAUGAAAAUCGGUCUUUUCUGGCCGAGAUUUU